rnacentral:rRNA from 1 species
GUCUACAGUCUUACCACCCUGAAUACACCGGAUCUCAUCUGAUCUUGGAAGCUAAGCAGGGUCAGGUCUGCUUAGUACUUGGAUGGGAGAAAACUACCUGUCCAUA